CGUUCUGUGAUAAACCUCAAAAGUGCAGGUGGCCCAUGGCCGCUCAACAUAGUCUCCAAGAAGCUCACAUUCACAGCUGCACACAAGUAUUGUAAUAGUGCCAGAAAGUACAGUAAACGCCGCCCGACAUCAAGGUUUCUGCUCAUCGACUUUGCUGCCUGCGGCGUUUCUCUCGUUUCGCCAUGGCUGACGCAGCGAACCAGGAUGAUGUCCCCGAGCCCCAGCCAUUGCCUGAAUACCAACGCCGGUGUAUCACUGGGGCUUUCCUGGUGGGCUUAGCAGUAUUAGCUGUUCAAGCGGGUUCAUCUGCCUACUCCUGUUUCUCUUCACCACCGUCUUUAUCGCCCCCACCAAUACUUGAAAUGACAUCAUGGAUCGAAUGGCAGUAUCGAUACUACGGUGACGCACAGAUCCCCCGCAUCCUGAUUUGGACCGGUUCACCUUCCGGGAAUUCCAGUGUUUAUCGCGUCGAAAAGGCCGCAAAAAACGCCGCGUG
rnacentral:lncRNA from 1 species